rnacentral:rRNA from 1 species
AUUGACCGCUGGCGGCAGGCCUAACACAUGCAAGUCGAACGAGUGGCGGACGGGUGAGUAAUGUCUGGGAAACUGCCUGAUGGAGGGGGCUAACUACUGGAAACGGUAGCUAAUACCGCAUACCAUCAGAUGUGCCCAGAUGGGAUUAGCGUGUUGGUGGGGUAACGGCUCACCAAGGCGACGAUCCCUAGCUGGUCUGAGAGGAUGACCAGCCACACGGGAACGUAGACACGGGCCAGAUUCCUACGGGAGGCAGCAGUGGGGAAGAGUGCACAAUGGGCGCAAGCCUGAUGCAGCCAUGCCGCGUGUAUGAAGAAGGCCUUCGGGUGGUAAAGUACUUUCAGCGGGGAGGCGUUACCCGCAUAAGAAGCAACGGCUAACUCCGUGCCAGCCGCCGCGGUAAUAC